rnacentral:rRNA from 1 species
UACGUAGGGGGCGAGCGUUGUCCGAAGUUACUGGGCGUAAAGCGCGCGUAGGCGGACUCUUAAGUGAGGGGUGAAAGGUUCAGGGCUCAACCCGAACACUGCCUUUCAUACUGGGAGUCUUGAGUACGGGAGAGGCGAGUGGAAUGGUCGGUGUAGCGGUGAAAUGCGUAGAUAUCGAUCGGAACACCCAUGGCGAAGGCAGCUCGCUGGCCUGUAACUGACGCUGAUGCACGAAAGCUAGGGGAGCAAACAGG